GACGAACGCUGGCGGCGUGCUUAACACAUGCCAGUCGAACGGAAAGGCCCUGCUUUUGUGGGGUGCUCGAGUGGCGAACGGGUGAGUAACACGUGAGUAACCUGCCCUUGACUUUGGGAUAACUUCAGGAAACUGGGGCUAAUACCGGAUAGGAGCUCCUGCUGCAUGGUGGGGGUUGGAAAGUUUCGGCGGUUGGGGAUGGACUCGCGGCUUAUCAGCUUGUUGGUGGGGUAGUGGCUUACCAAGGCUUUGACGGGUAGCCGGCCUGAGAGGGUGACCGGCCACAUUGGGAUUGAGAUACGGCCCAGACUCCUACGGGAGGCAGCAGUGGGGAAUAUUGCACAAUGGGCGGAAGCCUGAUGCAGCAACGCCGCGUGCGGGAUGACGGCCUUCGGGUUGUAAACCGCUUUCGCCUGUGACGAAGCGUGAGUGACGGUAAUGGGUAAAGAAGCACCGGCUAACUACGUG
rnacentral:rRNA from 1 species